rnacentral:tRNA from 1 species
ACCUGCGUGGCUCAGUCGGUGGAGCAUGUGACUCCCGAUCUCAGGGUUGUGAGUUCAAGCCCCAUGUUGGGUG